rnacentral:rRNA from 1 species
UCCGUAGGUGAACCUGCGGAGGGAUCAUUGCUGGAACGCGCUUCGGCGCACCCAGAAACCCUUUGUGAACUUAUACCUACUGUUGCCUCGGCGUCAGGCCGGCCCCUUCACUGGGGCCCCCCGGAGACGGGGAGCAGCCCGCCGGCGGCCAACUAAACUCUUGUUUCUACAGUGAAUCUCUGAGUAAAAAACAUAAAUGAAUCAAAACUUUCAACAACGGAUCUCUUGGUUCUGGCAUCGAUGAAGAACGCAGCGAAAUGCGAUAAGUAAUGUGAAUUGCAGAAUUCAGUGAAUCAUCGAAUCUUUGAACGCACAUUGCGCCCCCUGGUAUUCCGGGGGGCAUGCCUGUUCGAGCGUCAUUUCAACCCUCAAGCCUGGCUUGGUGAUGGGGCACUGCUUCGAGAGGAGCAGGCCCUGAAAUUCAGUGGCGAGCUCGCCAGGACCCCGAGCGUAGUAGUUAUAUCUCGCUUUGGAAGGCCCUGGCGGUGCCCUGCCGUUAAACCCCCAACUUCUGAAAAUUUGACCUCGGAUCAGGUAGGAAUACCCGCUGAACUUAAGCAUAUCAAUAAGCGGAGGA